GGAGGGCUAGGCUAAUGGUAAGUCAGCGGAUUUGAAAUCCGCCGCCCGAAAGGGCUUGGGGGUUCGAGUCCCUCGCCCUCCG
rnacentral:tRNA from 1 species